GUGCCAGCAGCCGCGGUAAUACAGAGGCCCCAAGCGUUACUGAGAAUCACUGGGUUUAAAGGGUGCGUAGGUGGCGCGUUAAGUCCGUUGUGAAAUCCCUUGGCUCAACCAAGGAACUGCUUCGGAUACUGGCGUGCUUGAGGCUAGUAGGGGUCACUGGAACUGACGGUGGAGCGGUGAAAUGCGUAGAUAUCGUCAGGAACGCCGAUGGUGAAGACAGGUGACUGGGCUAGUUCUGACACUGAGGCACGAAAGCGUGGGGAGCGAACGGGAUUAGAAACCCGGGUAGUCC
rnacentral:rRNA from 1 species